AACGCACAUUGCGCCCUUUGGUAUUCCGAAGGGCAUGCCUGUUCGAGCGUCAUUUCGUCCAUCAAGCCCAGCUUGGUCUUGGGUGAGGUAGCAUUACCCACCUGCAACUCAUUCGCGAAAGUGGUCAGGUCUCGGCGUAGCAAGUUCUCGCUUUGGAUCUUCCAUCUUUUCUUGAUCGAAAUUUUGACCUCGGAUCAGGUAGGAAUACCCGCUGAACUUAA
rnacentral:misc_RNA from 1 species